GACGGAGGGUGCUAGCGUUGUUCGGAAUCACUGGGCGUAAAGGGCGCGUAGGCGGCCUUGCAAGUCGGUUGGUGAAAGUCCGGGGCUCAACCCCGGAGGUGCGGCCGAGACUGCAGGGCUGGAGGCCGGAAGAGGAGGGUGGAAUACCCAGUGUAGAGGUGAAAUUCGUAGAUAUUGGGUGGAACACCGGUGGCGAAAGCGGCUCUCUGGUCCGGACCUGACGCUGAGGCGCGAAAGCGUGGGGAGCAAACAGG
rnacentral:rRNA from 1 species